UACAGAGGGUGCGAGCGUUGUUCGGAAUUAUUGGGCGUAAAGGGCGCGUAGGCGGUGCGGUAAGUCACCUGUGAAAUCUCCUGGCUCAACUGGGAGUCUGCAGGCGAAACUGCCGUGCUGGAGUGUGGGAGAGGUGAGUGGAAUUCCCGGUGUAGCGGUGAAAUGCGUAGAGAUCGGUAGGAACACCCAGGGGGAAACCAGCCGACUGGGCAUUUGGCUGACGCUGAGGUGCGAGAGCGUGGGGAGCGAACCGG
rnacentral:rRNA from 1 species